UACGGAGGGUGCAAGCGUUAUCCGGAUUCACUGGGUUUAAAGGGUGCGUAGGUGGGUUGGUAAGUCAGUGGUGAAAUCUCCGGGCUUAACCUGGAAACUGCCAUUGAUACUAUCAAUCUUGAAUACCUUGGAGGUGAGCGGAAUAUGUCAUGUAGCGGUGAAAUGCUUAGAUAUGACAUAGAACACCAAUUGCGAAGACAGCUCACUACACGGUCAUUGACACUGAGGCACGAAAGCGUGGGGAUCAAACAGG
rnacentral:rRNA from 1 species